GACGAACGCUGGCGGCGUGCUUAACACAUGCAAGUCGAACGGUGAAGCGCCUUCCUUUUUGGUGGGUGUGGAUGAGUGGCGAACGGGUGAGUAACACGUGAGUAACCUGCCCCCUUCUUCUGGAUAACCGCAUGAAAGUGUGGCUAAUACGGGAUAUUCUGGGUCUGUCGCAUGAUGGGUCUGGGAAAGAUAUUGUUUCGGUGGGGGAUGGGCUCGCGGCCUAUCAGCUUGUUGGUGGGGUGAUGGCCUACCAAGGCGGUGACGGGUAGCCGGCCUGAGAGGGUGGACGGUCACACUGGGACUGAGACACGGCCCAGUCUCCUACGGGAGGCAGCAGUGGGGAAUAUUGCACAAUGGGCGCAAGCCUGAUGCAGCGACGCCGCGUGAGGGAUGGAGGCCUUCGGGUUGUGAACCUCUUUCGCCAGUGAAGCAGGCCUGCCUCGUUUGUGGGUGGGUUGACGGUAGCUGGAGAAGAAGCGCCGGCUAACUACGUG
rnacentral:rRNA from 1 species